rnacentral:tRNA from 1 species
UGAGGAGUGGUGUAAUCGGUAGCACGCGUGGUUUUGGUCCACGAAGACCGGGUUCGAUCCCUGGCUCCUCAG